UACGGAGGGGGCUAGCGUUGUUCGGAAUUACUGGGCGUAAAGCGCGCGUAGGCGGCUUUGUAAGUUAGAGGUGAAAGCCCGGAGCUCAACUCCGGAAUUGCCCUUAAGACUGCAUCGCUAGAAUCAUGGAGAGGUUAGUGGAAUUCCGAGUGUAGAGGUGAAAUUCGUAGAUAUUCGGAAGAACACCAGUGGCGAAGGCGACUAACUGGACAUGUAUUGACGCUGAGGUGCGAAAGCGUGGGGAGCAAACAGG
rnacentral:rRNA from 1 species